rnacentral:pre_miRNA from 14 species
UUGUAGUUUAUCACUGAAAGAAGUCAGGAUGGGAGCUCAAGUGAAAAAUCCCACGCAGAGAGACCCUUACUCAAGUCUUGGGAAAUCGCGGACCCCAGACACAGAGAGACCA